rnacentral:rRNA from 1 species
GACGAACCGUGCGAACGUUGUUCGGAAUCACUGGGCUUAAAGGGCGCGUAGGCGGGCCGUCAAGUCGAGGGUGAAAGCCCCCGGCUCAACUGGGGAGGGUCACGCGAUACUGAUCGACUCGAAGGCAGGAGAGGGUAGUGGAAUUCCCGGUGUAGUGGUGAAAUGCGUAGAUAUCGGGAGGAACACCAGUGGCGAAGGCGACUACCUGGCCUGUUUCUUGACGCUGAGGCGCGAAAGCUAGGGGAGCAACGGG